AUUGAACGCUGGCGGCAGGCUUAACACAUGCAAGUCGAGCGGUAGCACAGGGGAGCUUGCUCCCUGGGUGACGAGCGGCGGACGGGUGAGUAAUGUCUGGGAAACUGCCUGAUGGAGGGGGAUAACUACUGGAAACGGUAGCUAAUACCGCAUAACGUCGCAAGACCAAAGAGGGGGACCUUCGGGCCUCUUGCCAUCAGAUGUGCCCAGAUGGGAUUAGCUAGUAGGUGGGGUAAUGGCUCACCUAGGCGACGAUCCCUAGCUGGUCUGAGAGGAUGACCAGCCACACUGGAACUGAGACACGGUCCAGACUCCUACGGGAGGCAGCAGUGGGGAAUAUUGCACAAUGGGCGCAAGCCUGGUGCAGCCAUGCCGCGUGUGUGAAGAAGGCCUUCGGGUUGUAAAGCACUUUCAGCGAGGAGGAAGGUGGUGAGCUUAAUACGUUCAUCAAUUGACGUUACUCGCAGAAGAAGCACCGGCUAACUCCGUG
rnacentral:rRNA from 1 species